CCCUGCUGCAUCCGCGAGCUGCUCCGAGUUGUCUCUCGGUGGAACUGACAAGCCAGUUGUGCACCUGCGUUCCCAAGUACCGGUCAGUUUUUCAGCGGCUGCAGCAGGAACGACAGCAGCAUCCACGGAGCCUUCUGAGCCAGGCAGGACGCUCAGCGUGGAGCAGGAACUAUUGCCAGUGGUGCGCCCGGAAACCUGGUGAGGUAAACACUGCUAUUUUCCCCCAUUUUUCUCCUAUGGGGGAGCUGAGGCUCAGAGGAUUUAAGUAACUUGCUGAGGUUCUCCAGCACCUAAGUGGAGGAGAUAAGGCUGUGUCAUUCUGGAGCCCUGGGUGCUGAGGGUUUUUCAGGCAUUCUUUUUAAAUUUAUUCCCCACCCCCUUUGUCGUUUGUACACGCUAUCUGCGCUCUGGGU
rnacentral:lncRNA from 1 species